rnacentral:lncRNA from 1 species
GUCGGGGGGAGCCAGCCGGCUCCAUCUGAUCGUCCUGGGUUCUGGAGCCCAGUCUGUCUUUCACCGACCCUCUCACCUGAGUGGUCUGGUGUGUUUUGGCCUUUUCACGGUCGGAAACUGCAUACUCCACACUCGCCAUAGUUUCUUCCCUGAAAAGUGUUCGAUUGUGAUUGUUAUUUAAGCAGCCCUCCUUCUAGCGCCAAUGUUAACGCCAAGUUU